rnacentral:pre_miRNA from 1 species
AAUAAACCAAAUUUUCACUUUUUAUCUUCAAUUUUUGACUCUGUGAUUAAUAUUUUUGUUUUUAUUAGAUAAUAAAUUAUGAAUAAUACUUUACGUGUGACUAAUUUUUUUUCUAAUUUUCUAAAAUUUUUUCAAAUAAGACAGGUGGUCAAAAGUUGGACACGAAAACCGAAGGAUUCGUUUUUU